rnacentral:rRNA from 1 species
GAUGAACGCUGGCGGCGUGCUUAACACAUGCAAGUCGAACGAUGAAGCCCAGCUUGCUGGGUGGAUUAGUGGCGAACGGGUGAGUAACACGUGAGUAACCUGCCCUUAACUCUGGGAUAAGCCUGGGAAACUGGGUCUAAUAUCGGAUAGGAGCGUCCACCGCAUGGUGGGUGUUGGAAAGAUUUAUCGGUUUUGGGUGGACUCGCGGCCUAUCAGCUUGUUGGUGAGGUAAUGGCUCACCAAGGCGACGACGGGUAGCCGGCCUGAGAGGGUGACCGGCCACACUGGGACUGAGACACGGCCCAGACUCCUACGGGAGGCAGCAGUGGGGAAUAUUGCACAAUGGGCGCAAGCCUGAUGCAGCGACGCCGCGUGAGGGAUGACGGCCUUCGGGUUGUAAACCUCUUUCAGUAGGGAAGAAGCGAGAGUGACGGUACCUGCAGAAGAAGCACCGGCUAACUACGUG